UACGGAGGGUGCAAGCGUUAAUCGGAAUUACUGGGCGUAAAGCGUGCGUAGGCGGUUCGUUAAGUCUGUUGUGAAAGCCCCGGGCUCAACCUGGGAAUGGCAAUGGAUACUGGCGAGCUAGAGUGUGUCAGAGGAUGGUGGAAUUCCCGGUGUAGCGGUGAAAUGCGUAGAUAUCGUAAGGAAGACCAGUGGCGAAGGCGGGUCUCUGGACAGUUCCUGACGCUGAGGCACGAAGGCCAGGGGAGCAAACGGG
rnacentral:rRNA from 1 species